UAGUGCUAAUAGAAUGUCUCCAAAGCUGGACUGACAUAAAGGGGGGGGGGGGGGGGCGGAAAUACCUUUCCCUUCUAGUUGUGAGAAACUUCCUCUUGGUUCCUGGGAGGAGGGAUCUCUUGGUGUUGACACACAUUAGCCAUCUUGGCACAAACACCUUGUCUUGUGGGAAAAACUAAAAUUCCUUUUUAUGGCCUUUUCUCCCUCUCCACUUUAAGCAUAGACUUUGGCUGUCUUAAGCCCAGAGACCUAUUGGGACCUGGCCCCCCAAAAAAUUGAUUUCCAGUAUGUUGGACAAUCUGGACUUUCCAGUGUCACCACGGAGAUGGCAUGCAUCCUUCAAAAGAGCAGCAGAUCGGCAGAGCGUCG